rnacentral:rRNA from 1 species
GAGUCGUGAGGGUUCGGCCCUCGGCUGACGGUUCAGUAACACGCGGAUAAUCUGCCCUUGGGUGGAGGAUAAUCUCGGGAAACUGAGAAUAAUACUCCAUAAGCCUAGGAUGCUGGAAUGCACUUAGACUAAAAACUUCGGUGCCCAAGGAUGAGUCUGCGGACUAUCAGGUUGUAGUCAGGGUAACGACCUGACUAGCCUACGACGGAUACGGGUUGUGAGAGCAAUAACCCGGAGAUGAUAUCUGAGACACGAUAUCAGGCCCUACGGGGCGCAGCAGGCGCGAAAACUUCGCAAUGUGCGAAAGCACGACGAGGGAAUCCCAAGUGCUGGCUCGUUAGAGUCAGCUGUUUUUAUGUCUAAAAAGCAUAAAGAGUAAGGGCUGGGUAAGACGGGUGCCAGCCGCCGCGGUAAUACCUGCAGCUCAAGUGGUGGCCGCUAUUAUUGGGCCUAAAACGUCCGUAGCCGGUUUAUUAAAUGCCUAGGUAAAUUGUGUGGCUUAACCAUACGAAUUCUGGGUAGACUGGUAAACUUGAAAUCGGGAGAAGCUAGAGGUACUCCUGGGGUAGAGGUGAAAUUCUGUAAUCCUA